AGCUGGUAAUCAAUUAUACAAUUCUAUCUUCGCAUCAUUCGAUUCUUGUUUUUAGAUAUAAGCAAAGAAUGUUCUUUUUGACUUUAAGAUAUUCGAAUUUUCGCUAGCGCCUCUUGUCGAUCAUUUGGCGGAGAUGAAUGGUUCUCCACCUGUUCGAUGUGUAGUUGUUCCACUUUAUCAAGCUUCUUAAAUAAUGAAGAAAAUGCUCCAGUAAAUAUCGAGAUUCGAGCCGUAAUGACUCCUUUUAAGAUGAGUUCCUACGGUCAGGUGGACCAUGCUCCUCAGAGUAUUCUCCCUGGUUGUUCAGAGGGUGGAAGAAAUCUCAGAGGGUUGCCCUUGCUCCUGUUCUUGUUUGUAUUUAUAGAGAUAUGAGGGUGUUACAUAAUGCAAUGGUUAAGCCUGUCGAAUUAGGGUCUGGAAUUGGUCUGAAGUUCACUAUAUGGCACUACGACUUAGUGCAGAUGUGGGUUUGGGAGAGGUUUGUGGAAUUGAGGCCAAAGCCAAAUGUCAUAGAACGGGGAGACCCUAGAUCAGCACGGUGGAAUGGAGUCACAAAGUUGUAAGUUUCACGAUUUGUGAAGCUUUUUGAAGCUUUUAGACAUCUAAAGCGAUGAGUUCCUACAGGCUACAGUCAAGUGGAUCAUGCUCCUCAGAGUAUUCUUCUUGGCUGUUGAGAUGGUGGAAAAUCUCAAAGGUGCAAUGGUGGAGUCAAACUAUUUGGCUCGUUUGUAGCUGAACUAUUCACGAAAUGGUGAGAUUUGGAUAUAUCCAUAGAGAUACAUGUUUUCAUAUCUCAAGCACAGCAAGAAAGCAGAAGGAAAGUUUGCUUGCAGAUUUACUAGGAGCUCUUAGAAGGAAAGGUAAUCUUUUUUCAAGAUAUGGAACUCCAUGCAUAUUGUGAAAUUGUUGCUGUCCUUGUGAUAUCUCACAUUAUGUAGUAAAACAAUCAAUUUAUCAAAUUCCAAAUACUCGUUCUCCGCAUCAUCCUAUACUUUUUUCUUAAGUUGAGGAUCUUUUUGAGAAGCCUGUUAAACCUGCAAGGGCUGUUGCCAACAACCAUCUGACAAGAAUGGUUGAUGCAUUUCGAGCUUAACAUAAUAUGCUUCCAUCAAAUUAUCAUAAUCAGGCUACUGUCUCCCCACACUAAUUAGACAAGAUCGACUGUCAUCUGCAAAACGGUCACCGGACAGAAAGAAACAUGGAAAAAACCGGUGGCGUCCACAGAAAAAAGACAUUUGAUCGAGACGAUAUUGUGAAUGUGGCAAUCCCGAUAGACUGAUCAAUUCAUGGAAUACUACUUGUAGUUAAAUAAUGAAGAAAAUGCUCCGUCAAAGAUGAGGCGUAAUGACUCUUUUUAAGAGGAUCUCGAUUAAUUACUUACCCCAAUUGGCAGCACAAGGAAUACUAGUACAACAACGUUGGAGUUUGACCAACUCCAGAGUUUUGACUACGAUGAUACCAUCAGUCUCCUAUGCCCCGUCUCUUCAGUUGGUUCUCUUGAAUUAGGGGUGGCCUGGUAAUUUUGAUAUCUUCAGCCGUGUCAUUUCUAGUAUGCAAAUGAGUUCUCUGGUAAAACCUACGUUGCGGGAUACUCUUUCGCUCCUUGGACCUGAGAGGGAGGAUGAGCAAGUGAGGCAACAUAUCAUUGAAGACUUGUGAGAUGUUUUUUGGACCGUGGAAAGUCUUAGAGGUGCCAUGGUGGAACCAUUUGGCUCUUAUGUAUCUAAGCAUUUGACCAGAACAUAUCUAUAGAGAUACAUAGAGGUCGCAUAUUUUAAACAUUUGGAGAAACCAGAAGGAAAAUUUACCAGAAACUGUACUAGAAGCUCUCAGAAGUGAGGGUAACCUGCCUCCUUUUUAGUAAUCUGCUUGACAAUUGACAUAUAGGUUUGAGAACUGCAGCUGUUGAACACUGAAUAGUACUUUCUUUUUUUUAAGUUCUCUGAUCUGCUCGUUUCAUUCUUUGCAAAGUUUUCUGACAUUGAUGUGAGGGCCUCAGAAGAAGGUGUCAGUUCUUACUCUGGAGUCUGGACAGUACGAAGAUAUUGGGAGAAACAUGGCAUGGCUGCCGCAGACAUUAGCACUCUAUGUAAUCACACACACACACACACACCGAUACCCUUGUGCUAGCAUGUGUCGCAUUGAUGGAGACCCUGUACAACCUUCAGAUAAAAACACUGGAGGAAACUAUGACGGGAGUCGUCCACAGGUCAACAGAGAAGCAUCAACACCAUCACAGUCGCAUCUAACUUAAAAAUGUAAUGAAUGAUAAACGUUCUAACAAUGCUAGUGUCUGACAGACCAGUGCAGCCAAUUCAAGCACAACAGAUCUGGAGGGCAAAACCCCAGAACUAAAUGCCAGAAAGUAUCACCCCUGCCCCCAAGUUUCUUCUUAUUGUACACUGAUUAUUGAUAACAAAUCAUUUUUGAGAAUGGUUGGUUCUAUGAAUGUAACCGUUGAACCAUUACAUUUAAAGUCUGGUAAUCUUUUGAUUAAUUGUGUAUUUUUUGUGAUUUUAUGA